GAUGAACGCUGGCGGCGUGCUUAACACAUGCAAGUCGAACGGUGAAGCAGGAGCUUGCUCUUGUGGAUCAGUGGCGAACGGGUGAGUAACACGUGAGCAACCUGCCCCUGACUCUGGGAUAAGCGCUGGAAACGGCGUCUAAUACUGGAUAUGUGAUGUGACCGCAUGGUCUGCAUCUGGAAAGAAUUUCGGUUGGGGAUGGGCUCGCGGCCUAUCAGCUUGUUGGUGAGGUAAUGGCUCACCAAGGCGUCGACGGGUAGCCGGCCUGAGAGGGUGACCGGCCACACUGGGACUGAGACACGGCCCAGACUCCUACGGGAGGCAGCAGUGGGGAAUAUUGCACAAUGGGCGCAAGCCUGAUGCAGCAACGCCGCGUGAGGGAUGACGGCCUUCGGGUUGUAAACCUCUUUUAGCAGGGAAGAAGCGGAAGUGACGGUACCUGCAGAAAAAGCACCGGCUAACUACGUGCCAGCCGCCGCGGUAA
rnacentral:rRNA from 1 species